GACGAACGCUGGCGGCGUGCUUAACACAUGCAAGUCGAACGGAAAGGCCUCUUUCGGGGGGUACUCGAGUGGCGAACGGGUGAGUAACACGUGAGUAACCUGCCCUUGACUUUGGGAUAACUUCAGGAAACUGGGGCUAAUACCGGAUAGGAGCUCCUGCUGCAUGGUGGGGGUUGGAAAGUUUCGGCGGUUGGGGAUGGACUCGCGGCUUAUCAGCUUGUUGGUGGGGUAGUGGCUUACCAAGGCUUUGACGGGUAGCCGGCCUGAGAGGGUGACCGGCCACAGUGGGACUGAGAUACGGCCCAGACUCCUGCGGGGGAGAGGAGGGGAGUAUAUUGCACAGUGUGGGAAAGCGUGGUGGAACAGCGCCGUGCGGGAUGACGGCCUUCGGGUUGUAAACCGCUUUCACUCAUGACGAAGCUUUGUGUGACGGUAGUGGGUAAAGAAGCACCGGCUAACUACGUG
rnacentral:rRNA from 1 species